GGGAGAGUAACGCGUGGUUACUUGCCCUCGAGACCGGGAUAGCGUCGGGAAACUGGCAGUAAUACCGGAUAACAUCUACGGAUCAAAUGGUGUAAUUCCGCUCGAGGAUAGGACCGCGUACUAUUACGCUUGUUGGUAAGGUAAUGGCUUACCAAGGCUUUGAUGGUUACCGGGUGUGAGAGCAUGACCCGGCUCACUGGGACUGAGACACUGCCCAGACACCUACGGGUGGCUGCAGUCGAGAAUCUUCGGCAAUGGACGCAAGUCUGACCGAGCGAUGCCGCGUGCGGGAUGAAGGCCCUCGGGUUGUAAACCGCUGUCAAUUGGGAGGAAAGUUCUGUGAAGAGCAGGACCUGACCAAUCUUUAGAGGAAG
rnacentral:rRNA from 1 species